GACAGAGGGUGCAAACGUUGUUCGGAAUUACUGGGCGUAAAGCGCGUGUAGGCGGCGUAGCAAGUCGGGCGUGAAAGCCCACGGCUCAACCGUGGAAGAGCACUCGAAACUGCUGCGCUAGAGUUCUGGAGAGGAAGGCGGAAUGCUUGGUGUAGAGGUGAAAUUCGUAGAUAUCAAGCGGAACACCGGUGGCGAAGGCGGCCUUCUGGACAGUGACUGACGCUGAAGCGCGAAAGCGUGGGGAGCAAACAGG
rnacentral:rRNA from 1 species